UGAGUGUCAGGGGUGCAGUGUGUGUGUGUGUGUGUGUGUGUGAGGGUGCUGUGAGUGUCAGGGGUGAAGUGUGUGUGUGAGUGUCAGGGGUGCAGUGUGUGUGUGUGUGUGAGGGUGCUGUGAUUGUCAGGGGUGCAGUGUGUGUGUGUGUGUCAGGGGUGCAGUGUAUGUGUGUGUGUGAGGGUGCUGUGAGUGUCAGGGGUGCAGUGUGUGUGUGUGAGUGUCAGGGGUGCAGUGUGUGUGUGUGAGUGAGGGUGU
rnacentral:lncRNA from 1 species